AGAUUAGUCGUAACAACUUGGGAAGGUUUUGGAGACGGUAUCUGAAAAUUACCGUGCUGUCCAGAUGUUUAUGUAAAUGAGGAUAGUUAAGUGUUGAAUCUGAUUAGCUGUAUGAAAGGCAGAUGAUAGUUUUCUUUGAGGUAUCAGUAUACAUUCAUUCUUUAAUGAAUAAUUCUCUCAGAGAGUUUAAUAAGUAAUAUUUCUUUAUAUAUCAAGUUGUUUCCAGUUUGGAUGAACUUGGUUAGGAGAAGAAUAGAAAUACCCACAUCUUCAAAAGACAAAAUAAAAAAAGAUGUCGAAUUGCCUUCAAUCGAGGUAAACAAGGCCGUAUGAUUGAAGACUGGAUUGCUAGAUAUGAUGGAAGGAGAGGAUGAUCUCUUGAAUUAUUCUGCUCUCAAUACUUGAAGUAGGAAAUAGUGAUGAAGUUUAUUAUGUUGCUGGAACUGAAAGGUGAAGGGAACCUAAACCCAGCAGAGAUUGGAAUGAAGCAGAAUGAACCCAAAUGAACUCAGAUACCUUUUUGCAAUUGCAACAACAAUUAAGCUUCAAUCUCAGUGUAAUUUAAUAUAUACCAUUACGUUAUGCCAUUCAAUCCAGUGUCCUAAAACUUGCAAAGUAAUUUAUUU
rnacentral:lncRNA from 1 species